UUAUGCAUAUUGAAUGUAGUUCCCUAUGCUAUGCAGUAGGACCUUGUUGUUUGCCUAAUUUAUAUAUAGUAAUUUGCAUCUCCUAAUCACAAACUCCUGGUUUAUCCCUCCCUCACCAUUUCCCCUUUGGUAAUCAUAAGUUUGUUUCACCAUAAGUGAGUUUGUUUCCGUUUUGUAAAUAAGUUCAUUUGUAUCAUUUUUUAGAUUCAACA